rnacentral:misc_RNA from 1 species
AACAUCGCGCACCUGCGGGAACCUGCGGAAGGAUCAUCACCGGAUGUGACCCAUUUAUAAUGACCGCGUGAACUGUGCAAGGUGGCGGCUCUGGAUUGAGGCGCGCGCCCCUAUAUCAGACAUGCCUAGACUAACACAAGUGUAUUUCUAAACGACAACUUUUAACAACGGAUCU